GGCGGUUCUCAGGUGACGCACCCUGGAAUUGGGCACCCUCCUCUCUGGUUUCAGGUGCAUCACCCGAGAACUGCA
rfam:Myotis lucifugus cont2.63, whole genome shotgun sequence.